UCUCCGUAGGUGAACCUGCGGAGGGAUCAUUACUGAGUGAGGGCCUUCGGGCUCGACCUCCAACCCUUUGUGAACACAACUUGUUGCUUCGGGGGCGACCCUGCCGUUUCGGCGGUGGCGCUCCCGGUGGCCAUUAAACACUGCAUCAUUGCGUGGAGUUAAAGUAAAUUAAACAAAACUUUCAACAACGGAUAUCGUGGUUCCAGCAUCGAUGAAGAACGCAGC
rnacentral:misc_RNA from 1 species